UACGGAAGGUCCGGGCGUUAUCCGGAUUUAUUGGGUUUAAAGGGAGCGUAGGCCGGUCUUUAAGCGUGCCGUGAAAUUUUGUGGCUCAACCAUGAGAGUGCGGCGCGAACUGGAGACCUUGAGUGCGCGGAAGGCAGGCGGAAUUCGUGGUGUAGCGGUGAAAUGCGUAGAGAUCGGGAGGAACACCAGUGGCGAAGGCGGCCUGCUGGGCUUUAACUGACGCUCAGGCACGAAAGCAUGGGUAGCAAACAGG
rnacentral:rRNA from 1 species